rnacentral:lncRNA from 1 species
UGACGCCGAUCCUUCAUUUGUUGGUGUGGAUUGUGAAUCGAUAUCUUCCAUUGUCCAACAUUGGAAAGAAUAUUGAAAAUAUUAAAUAAUUUAAAAAACCUCCUAUAAAUGAAAAUCUAUAGCAAUUAUUACACAUGAAAAUACAUUGCAAAGUUGAAAUUAACAUAGCUAUCAUGAUCUGUACAAAAAAAUAAUCAGCAUGAUUUGUACUUUCGGUCUGGCAUAAACUAAGGCAAGGAACAUCUAUUUCCAGCAAUUCAUUCUAUCAAAUGUUAGUUCCUCCAACAAUGUAACAGUUUGGAUCUCAGCUUUUCUUUACUAGUUUUAGCUAUAAUUUUGAAAUUCACUAAGCUAGAAUUCUGAAAUUUCCUAAUGUUGCGUGUCGCUGAGCUGUUCGGGUCCAUUAACCAUUUCAUUUUGUAUUCAAAUCUAACAAACAUGCUGGAACUUGAAAUGAUUUCUAAUUCUUUCUCUCGGCUGCAACCCAUAUUUCCAGUAGCAGCAGCAGCCUAUGUUCCAGCUAAGUAGGCAAGGGAUAAUCUAUUUAGUUACUGAUUAUCCUUAACAGAACGUGAAAGUUUAUGACCAAGAUUCCAGAGACUAAAUAGAAUUAAAAACAUUUCUGCUCUUAAUUACAAAUCUGAUGCAUAAUGAAUCCCAAAUGCCAAAUCUAAUUAAACACCCCAGCUUCUCAUACACACCCGUAAUAUCCAAAUCCCAAAUGCCCAGCAUAAUGAAUCAAAAAAUUCCAGUCACAGAUCAAUUUUAGCAUAACGAAUUAGCAAUAAUAGCCUUCAGAUUGUAAAAAAUUACCAGAUUUAGCUUCAGUUCAC